UUGCUAAGACUGGAUAGGAAAUAAAAAGGCAUCUUUUUAUUUUUAAAAGACCUUUUUCGGAAGGUAUGCUUAAAGAGGGGCUUGCGGCACAUUAGUUAGUUGGUAGGGUAAAGGCCUACCAAGACUAUGAUGUGUAGCUGGACUGAGAGGUUGAACAGCCACAUUGGGACUGAGACACGGCCCAAACUCCUACGGGAGGCAGCAGUAGGGAAUUUUCGGCAAUGGAGGAAACUCUGACCGAGCAACGCCGCGUGAACGAUGAAGUAUUUCGGUAUGUAAAGUUCUUUUAUUGAAGAAGAAAAAAUAGUGGAAAAACUAUCUUGACGCUAUUCAAUGAAUAAGCCCCGGCAAACUAUGUGCCAGCAGCCGCGGUAAUACAUAGGGGGCAAGCGUUAUCCGGAAUUAUUGGGCGUAAAGGGUGCGUAGGCGGUUUAAUAAGUCUAUAGUUUAUUUUCAGUGCUUAACACUGUCCUGCUAUAUAAACUGUUAAACUGGAGUGAGAUAGAGGCAAGUGGAAUUCCAUGUGUAGCGGUAAAAUGCGUAAAUAUAUGGAGGAACACCAGAGGCGUAGGCGGCUUGCUGGGUCUUUACUGACGCUGAGGCACGAAAGCGUGGGGAGCAAACAGGAUUAGAUACCCUGGUAGUCCACGCCGUAAACGAUGAGUACUAAGUGUCGGGGUUACUCGGUACUGAAGUUAACACAUUAAGUAAUCCGCCUGAGUAGUAGGUACGCAAGUAUGAAACUUAAAGGAAUUGACGGGACUCCGCACAAGCGGUGGAUCAUGUUGUUUAAUUUGAAGAUACACGAAAAACCUUACCAGGUCUUGACAUACUCUGCAAAGCUAUAGCAAUAUAGUGGAGGUUAUCAGGGAUACAGGUGGUGCAUGGUUGUCGUCAGCUCGUGUCGUGAGAUGUUAGGUUAAGUCCUAAAACGAGCGCAACCCUUGUCAUUAGUUGCCAGCAUGUCAUGAUGGGCACUUUAGUGAGACUGCCAAUGAAAAAUUGGAGGAAGGUGAGGAUCACGUCAAAUCAUCAUGCCCCUUAUGAUCUGGGCUACAAACGUGAUACAAUGGCUGUUACAAAGAGUAGCUGAAACGCAAGUUAAUAGCCAAUCUCAUAAAAACAGUCUCAGUUCGGAUUGAAGUCUGCAACUCGACUUCAUGAAGUUGGAAUCGCUAGUAAUCGCGAAUCAGCAUGUCGCGGUGAAUACGUUCUCGGGGUUUGUACACACCGCCCGUCAAACCACGAAAGUUGGUAAUACUCAAAAACGGUAGCCUAACUUCUUCGGAAGAGGGAAUCGUCUAAGGUAGGAUCGAUGAUUGGGGCUAAGU
rnacentral:rRNA from 1 species